CCUACGGGUGGCAGCAGUAGGGAAUCUUCCACAAUGGACGAAAGUCUGAUGGAGCAACGCCGCGUGAGUGAAGAAGGGUUUCGGCUUGUAAAGCUCUGUUGGUAGUGAAGAAAGAUAGACGUAGUAACUGGCCUUUAUUUGACGGUAAUUACUUAGAAAGUCACGGCUAACUACGUGCCAGAAGCCGCGGUAAUACGUAGGUGGCAAGCGUUGUCCGGGUUUAUUGGGCGUAAAGGGAGGGCAGGCGGUAGAAUAAGUCUGAUGUGAAAGCCUUCGGCUCAACCGGGGAAUUGCAUCAGAAACUGUUGAACUUGAGUGCAGAAGAGGAGAGCGGAACUCCAGGUGUAGCGGUGGAAUGCGUAGAUAUAUGGAAGAACACCAGUGGCGAAGGCGGCUCUCUGGUCUGCAACUGACGUUGAGGCUCGAAAGCAUGGGUAGCGAACAGGAUUAGAUACCCGUGUAGUC
rnacentral:rRNA from 1 species